GGAAAGUUCUGCUUCUAAGAUCAUAAUCACAUAAUCACUCAUUAUUCUUUUAUGUUCUUUUUAUCUUUGUUUAUUUACAGAUGAUCCCUUCUAUAUAAUAUCUUGCCACUGGCAUAACUGCAACGUGUAUGACUCUGGUUUUUUGCACCUCACAAGCUGGAAGAAAGCAACUCACUAACAGAAAUUUCAUGCCACUUGAAGACACAUUCAUGUGUCUUCUUUUGUGUGGAAUGAUAAUAUUAACAGAGAAGGAUGCUUGAUUUCCUGUUUCUGACACUUCACCAGCUCCAGGAGGGAUUUUUUUUAUCAAUGGUGAAGGUGCUAGAUUUCUAAAAAUCCCCUCUUCUUAAUUUUUCUACCAUCCUCUGAGUGCCUAGCUUGCAAGUGGCAUGCCAGAGCAGCAUACUUCCAGCCUACAGGAUUAAAAGGGGAAGUCUAUUUUUGUGCUCAGCCUGAAUUUUGAGCAUAACCUGUUGUGGUGUUGAUGUGAGGGUCCCCAGGACAAGGUGAGAGAUAAGAAUUGACUCCAAGUUCUCAGAAGGCUGAUUUAUUAUAUUAUGGUAUUAUAUUAUAUUAAAAGAAAAUAAUAUACUAAAACAAUACUAAAGAAAGAGAAAGGUUACAGACAGAAGGCUAGAAAGGAAUGAUAAAAACCCAUGACUGACCAGAGAGUCUGACACAGCUGGACUCAGAUUGGCCAUUAAGUAAAAACAAUUCACGUGGAACCAAUCAAAGAUGGACCUGUUGUUAAACAAUCUCUAGACCACAUUCCAAGGAAUCAGAUAAUUAUGGUUACAUUUCUUUUCUGAGGCUUCUCAGCUUCUCAAGAGAAAAAUCCUGGCAAAGGGAUUUUUCAUAAAAUAUCAUGGUGACACAUAACCUAGAGGAAUAUGGGACUGCAGAUGCAUCUUCUGGGAUGUCCACUUGGCUGUACCUCCUGGUGCCUGAGAAUGUACCCUGAAUAUACUGACUACUGGGGGACAGUCAGAUGGAAACAAGAUGAAAUUUUGGAAGACUCAAGUGGUAUUGAACAGAGAAGCAGUGCAGGAGCACUGCCCAGAGGAAAAAAGAUGGAAGCACACCUAAAACAGGGAGAUGAAGAAAAGGAACUUUGCUUAGCUUUCUUUCUCCUGUCUGAGAGGCCUCAAGAACCUUCCUCAAGAUUCACAUCUAUUGGACAAGCUAUUCUUAACAGGAAAAUUGAAGGACCUGCUCCAGGAAUUAGGUAUACGUUCCAGCUUCCUGGCAAUAAAUAAUGGAAAAGGAUCUGAGUGAAGGUAUCACUCAACACAUAGGGUGUUUUCUUCCUUAAAGCCAGGAAGCCCAGUCUAUAUUUUCUGCUGCACUGCAGUCAUGGUGUAACCACAGUCACUAAAAAUUAACACACAGCCACUGGCUCUGUUCCCACCCCCAGUGGGAUGGGGAGAAGGAUCAGAAAAAGAUGAAACCCAUCAGUUUAAACAAGAACAGUUUAAUAAUUUCAUUAAAAUAUAAUUAAUAAUAAUCAUCAUCACCGUAGUUGUGAUGGAGAGAAAAGGAAAGAGAGAGAGAGAGAGAGGAAUAAAACCAAAGAAAGACAAAUGAUGCA
rnacentral:lncRNA from 1 species